CAGCCAUCGCUAUCGCGGCACCGUCAAAUUCUCAGCAGAUGCAUACACGGCGCCACACCAGAGGCAGUACUCUUUCGUAUCUGCUCAACUUAUUUAUCGCAGCAAGAAAAUAGAUCGCCACUGCUUUACUCUUAUUUCUUGUCCAUCACUUACUUGCUAGUUGAAAGCAAACAUUGGUUGCGAAGUUGCCUUUGUCCGGUUUGCACCUUCAGAUCCGCCAUGGCACGCUCAACACUAUACUCCCAAUGCUUAUGGUUUUCCCCUUUUAUAUUCCACACUAGUUAAAUCACAGUAGACUAAAUUUGAAAAUUGGGUCAGUCAAUUUUUCAAAGCUCGCCGGAGUUCGCCGGUGCGAACNNNNNNNNNNNNNNNNNNNNNNNNNNNNNNNNNNNNNNNNNNNNNNNNNNNNNNNNNNNNNNNNNNNNNNNNNNNNNNNNNNNNNNNNNNNNNNNNNNNNNNNNNNNNNNNNNNNNNNNNNNNNNNNNNNNNNNNNNNNNNNNNNNNNNNNNNNNNNNNNNNNNNNNNNNNNNNNNNNNNNNNNNNNNNNNNNNNNNNNNNNNNNNNNNNNNNNNNNNNNNNNNNNNNNNNNNNNNNNNNNNGGUGGUUGUGGGGGGGCGGUGGUGGGGACUCGCCGAACGAAGAAAACUCGGCGGGUGGGGCGGGGGUGGGGGUGGUGGAGGAACACAGGCGGUGGGGGCCGGUGGUCCGGCCGGCGGCCCGUGCGGUGUUCUGUAUGGGAAGAAUCAGAGACGAGGAAGAAGAAGGGUUAGGAGACGUAGGAUCUUCAUCCAACCACCUGAAAUGGUCGACUGACCCAAAUGACAAAAGUCACGCGACUUGCAUGCAGACAUGCCUUUAUAUUCAGUACCAUCAUCGUACCUGCUUAGCACUGCUCCUGAAUCCAUCAAGCUAAACAACGUGCACUUAUAAUUCCAAACUUGUUACACAAGUACGAAUCUGAAAUGAUGCUGAUAUUACUAAAACAGAUAACAUUUAAUUGGUCAGCUAAUGUUCCUACUUUACUUUCGAAAAGCAUGUGCACCACAUAUAGAGAGACAGCAGGGAGUUGCUUUCUUAAUGCGCUCUGGUUCAUCAUGUGUGGGCACUGCGCAACGAACAUUUUAUUAUCCAAAAUCUGCUUGCUCUUCUUUAGCAUGUUCCUCUUCUGUUCUUCUUUAAUAAGUACUCUCUCUGUUCCUAAAUACAAGUCUUUGUAUAGAUUCCACCAUGGACUACAUAUGGAGCAAAAUGAGUGAAUCUACCCUCUAAAAUGUAUCUGGAUACAUCUGUAUGUGAUCCAUAGUGGAAAUCUCUACCAAGACUUAUAUUUUGGAACGAAGGGAGUAUGAUAGUAGUACAGUAUGUUCCUUGUAGUGAAGAUGAGCAGGGAAAUUUGCAGUGUAGAGGUCUAUACGGUCGAUUGUGAUGGACACUUUGAACUCUUCGGGCCUCUUUGAUUAGUAGGAUUUUGUAAACAUGGGAAUAGGAUUUGUAGUGGCCUGCCCACUUGAAUCCUAUAAGAAUAGCAAGGAAAUGCGGGGAGCUGUGUCGCCUUUGAGAGAUACACUGAUAUUAACAGUACCACACCUUCAGUUGAAGAGAGCUGGUAUCCGAAGCCUUUCUAGCCGUACCGGCAAUACUAGCACAUAUAUUCCAGCAAGUUCCACUUUGCUGAUUUUACUCUGAUGCUUAUGGUUUUCCCGUUAUAUCUACACUAUGAUCUGUUUAGCUGCUUUGUGUCGCACUAGCAGCAGUCCACUCUUGAAGCUAAACACCACAAUGACUUACAAAAUUGGCACCAAGGCAUUGAGUGCCAUUCUGGAUGCAAUGAAACUCAUACGCUCCCCACAUGUUGAUUCUUGUUCAGAAUAUGAUCCUAAUGACUAUUCUAACCUCGAGGAGUCAAAGGCAGAUGGCCUGUCCUGUUCACCCAUCAAGGUGCCUGUUCUCAUUUGGCAAGGUUUUAUUGAUUGCGCGUAUCUUGCAUAUGUUGUCUUGCAUUUGUUCUACUUUGUUGCACCGCCAUCUGCUUAGUUUACUCAUCAUAUAUGUCGAGAUGCCAUGCCCAUCCAUUAUCAAUACAUAUUCCAUCUGUCAUCAUACCAUGUUUUUCCACUCAAAUGUUGUUCUUGUGCAUCAGGCAUCAAAAAGAAAGAGGGUGAUUGCCGAACCUGAAGGAGCACCAGCAAAGUCCUUGAAAAAUGUGGUGGUGCCGAAGAAAUCAGACAACACCCCACUUAUAUUGGUUGUACAACCAGUGACACAAAACGUAGGACCGACUCCAGCAGACUGUACCCAUACUUCACUGGCCACACCACUAGCCCCACCACACAGGACCUGCACUCCAGCAAAAGGUAUACCGAUUUCAGUUGCCAUAGCACGGGCCGUACCACAGAAAAAUCCCACUCCAGCAAAAAGUACAGCAAGUCCACCGGCCGAAGACCUAUCCCAACUGCAGAGACAGCCAAUUCCUGCAGAUUGGAACCCCAUUCCAGUUAUUCCCAGUUUAAAAUACAAUGCUUUCAAUGUUGUUAGGGACUACGUGCAUAUAUUCCCAUCAUGGGAAGAUUAUAGUGAAGACAAACACCAUUUUCACAUCUUCCUGUCCAACUUACGUGUAAGUGCUAUUGUUCAUGGUUAUUAUUUUCCUAUUUUCUGCUUAUUGAACACAUCAAUGAUUUACAUUACAUUGUUGUAAGUGGGCGAGGAUCAAUCUGGAUAGUCAUGACGAGCAAAGCUUGCUUGUGCUUUUCAAGGAAGCAUUGCAGCAGUAUCGGUGUUACCUGAGGAAAUCACACUUUGAUGGCAAGUCUAUAAACGAAUUUCCGGUGAAGUCUCCUGUGCUAAAUUUAGAAGUCAUUGAAUGGAAAAACCUUGUUAUGCACUGGCCUCGUUCACAGGAUGAGGUACUGUCGAUGAAAUCACAGGACAAUUUGAACUUCUACUUUUCCGCAUGUGCCUUACGGAUCUUUUUUGCAGGAAAUCUGCUCGAAGAAGAAUUCCGGUUUGAAAAGAGCGACAGGAUAUCGCAGAUAUGCUGCCCGAUGCUUUGCUCUUGUUAGUACAUGUUGUCCUGUAUCACUGUACUUGCAUACAUAUCUGGUUCAUUAUGUGACAGCAGUAUGCAUGAUAGCUUGCUUAUCAAUUGUUCACUCCAAAUUAUGUGAUCUGUAUAAAUGGUUACAUUAGUGUAGAAUAUAUCCAAUGCCAAUGAAAUAUUUUAGCUCUGCAUUGUUCUUGUAAGUACUUGUUGUCCUUUAUCAGUGUACUUAUAUUUACAGGUAGUUGUUCAUGUACUAUCACUAUGCAGCUUAUUUUCCUUUGCCCUCCAUUUUCUACACAUCAGAUCUAUAUUUACUCUUACCAUAAGGUUGGAUAACACUGAUGGUACUGAAGAAGUUUAGCUGUGCAUUGCUCUUGGUUGUACCUUUUGCCUGUACCACUGUACUUACAUUUAUAGCUACUUGGUUAUGUAGCAUCACUCUUCAUCUUAUCUUAAAUAUUCUCCAUUUUUUCUUAUAUUAUCACAUCUAUAUUUAUUCUUAACAAAAUGUAGAAUAAAGGCAAUGCUUAUGAAGAAGAUUAUGUGGUAAACUUCUUAAAUUGCCCCCCCCCCAUCAGCAUGGACAAGGGCUUUAUCGAGCCUGUCUUCACCAAUAAUGUAAGUUUGUCCUUCUCAAGCCUUCAAACUUUGUUGUGUAUAUUUGGUUAGGCAUGACUGCAACAACUGUUUAUUUUUGGUGUUUGCAUCAAAUUGCAUGUUUAAAGUUUAUUAUGUAGUUCAUAAACAAAAGUUUAUCCUUCUCAAUUUAAGUUUUCAGUUGUACAACCAAGUUCCUUCUUCAUACCAUGUAAAUUAAACUAUACAGAGCAAGUGAUCUUCUUUCGCACUGCAUGUAUGCUUCUAUUCUUGAUCCGUAAUCCAGUGGUGUGGUGAACCUACCCACUAUAGCACAAUGUCAAAUUCUGCAAUGUCUUAACUAUGAACAAUGUCAUAUCAUUCUACUAUUAUUUAAACCGUCUCUUUAUUUGCCAAUCUAAAAUGGGAUAAAUUGACAGCACACUAACCAUUGAUACUUAUGAGUUCUUGAUCUGUAAUCGAGUGGUGUCGUGAAGCUGCCAACUCCUUCACAAUGUCAUUUCCUGCCAUGUCUUGACCUGAACAAUACCAUAUUGUGUUAAUGCAAUUUUAAACUGUGUCACUUUAUUCGUCAGUAAGAAAUGUGAUGAAUUGUCAGCACUGAUACUUUUAUGUGAAAAACCUGUCAUCUGUCUGCUUGUUUAUCUUUCAGAGUGAGGAGGAUAUAAGUGUUAAACAAGCACAGUCUCAUCAGCUUGCUCAGCUGCUUGCACUGCAGCUCCCCAGCAGGGCUAACCUUUCUUGAACUCUAUUGAAGUGCUGUCGGUUUUGUAUAUUAUUUUGUCGGCGUGUUUAGUUGCACUGGUGGCGAUCUUUGAUGCCUAGUGUAUGUAAUCUGCUGUCUGCUUGUGCUUUAUUAUCAUAGUGGCGAACUUUGAUGCCCAGUGGAUGUAAUAUGCCGUAAUUUAUUUAUUUUAUAGUCUAGGUUUUUUCUUAUUCACGAUGCUGCAGUUAUUUUACUGUAUAUAUAUCUUGUCUUCGCAGUAAACCGGCCAAACCGUAAAAUUACGGUACAUAAUCGGGCCGUCAUGCAAUCACGAUGUAUGAUCCGCAUCAUGGGCCCCGUCAUCCCGGUCCGUUAAAAGGCCUAAAUGUAAACUGGCCCACUAGUAGAUUCGGACCUUUAAUAGGCCGAGUAAACCGCCGGCCCUCUUUUCGCAAGAAAACUCAAUGGGCUUUUAGGAGGCUGAGAAGUAGGUUGGGCCUGAAACGUGUCAAACAGCUCACGGGCCGGCAGCAGCCCGAAAUGGACCCCGGCCCAUGAUUGUGCCAAUCAAAUCAUGGGCUUUUAACAUGCCAAAAUUGUCUCAGUCCUUGUUUGGCCCAAUCAGAUUAUCGGAUGCGAGCAGGCCGGAUGCAAACCGGGCCGUAGUUAGGCCCAACUAUAUGACGGGCUUUUAACAGGCCGAAAUUAAUAUAGGGCCGAAAUGUUAAACGGGCCCUUAACAUGCCGAAACUAAUAUCAGGCCGAAUUACUAAAUGGGCCUUUAGCAAGUGGGCCCAAAAGCAUAGCGUCCAGUUGACGGGCCGAAUCUGAUAUGGGCCAUAAUUUAGCCCAAAGCCUCUGAAAGGGCCGGACCUGAUAUGGGCCGUAAUUUGGCCCAGAACGUGGUAGGCUUUUAACGGGCCGGAUCUCAUAUGGGCCAUUGUUAGGCCCGGAACAUGGCAGGCCAUUAAUGGACCGGAUCAAAUAUGGGUCGUCCUACUAGGGUCCUCAAAGUCUUGUGGGCCUACAGCUGGGCCGGCCCAUUAAUGUCGGCGAAAUCUUGUGGGUCUUUAGCUGGGCCGGCCCAUUAUGGGCCACAAAAAUCGUGUGGGCCUUCACCUGGGCCGGCCCAUUAUGGCCCGCAAAAAUCUUGUGGGCCUUUACCUGGGCCGGCCCAUUAUGGCCCGCAAAAUCUUGUGGGCCUUUAGCUGGGCCAGCCCAUUAUGGUCCGCAAAAUCUGGUGGGCCUUUAGCUGGGCCGGCCCAUUAUAGUCCGCAAAAUCUUGCGGGCCUUUAGUUGGGCCGGCCCAUUUAAACUUUAUGGGCCACUUUUGGGCCGGUCCACGUGUCAACAUAUCAUAGGCGCAUCUCGCCCAUUGGAUGAGUGACACCUGUGCCAACGCGGAGCUGACACGUGUUUCCUCCAGCCAAUGAUGAUUUUACACGUGGAGAAUCCCCAUUGGUCCGGACUGUUAACGGGUUAUCGGAUCCAAAACCGGACCCGAUAGCUUAACGGCGUUCCGUUACGGUGGAUGCCACGUGUCGGUCACCCUUGACGAAAGCACUUCUGUGACGCGCGAUUUAUCGUCAUGGAAGUGGACACUUCCGUGAUGAUAAUUUUGGUAAUGUCAUGGAACACUUCUACGACAGCACAGGUAUGACCAUCUUGAUUCUGUCAUAAAAUCAUCAUGGAUGUACAUGCAUGACAAAAACACGACCUACUGUGACAAACACGUAUCAUCACGGAAGUGUAUUUUUUUGUAGUGAAAGUGCCAAAUUGGAAAAAGAAUUCCUUGGCCUUCAUCACGCCUUGUGUGCGAUGGCAUGAACAACCGCUCUUGGAUUGCCGACAUUCGCGGUGCCUUGGGGCCCCAAGCAACCCUGGAAUACAUGGACAUUUGGUGACGCCUCCAGAACUUUGCCACAUCCGAAGAACCAGACCGGCUGAUCUGGCGAUGGACGGCCAACGGCCAAUACUCGCCCGUUCCUGCUACCAAGCUCUUUUCCUGGGUUCCACCUCCUCGCCCACUUGGCAACUCACUUGGCGGAAUUGGGCUCCCCUGAACUCCAAGUUCUUCAUCUGGAUCGCCUCACUCGACCGCUGCUGGACCACGGAUCGCCUCGCGCGCCAUGGAAUCCAGCAUGACCCCGACUGCUCACUCUGCUCUCAGGAACCGGAGACCCUGCACCACCUUCUUGUGGGCUGCGCCUUCUCUAAGAUCACCUGGCACGAGAUUCUUUCCUGGUGCCGAGCGACGGUCACUCCACCCGACGGAUCGGCCACCUUCUUCACCUGGUGGUCUGAAUCCAUCGACAGCUCCCCUGCAGGCCUGCGCAAGGGCAUCGGCACCAUCAUCGUCCUCACGGCAUGGCAUCUUUGGAAGCAUCGCAAUGCUUGCGUCUUCGAUGCCGCAUAGCCCUCCAACACGGUGCUUUCCCGCGACAUCAAGCUCGAGGCCCGUCUAUGGGCGCGAGCGGGUGCCACCGGCCUGGCCAAUAUACUCCGUGUAACAUGAACCCUUUGUAUUGAGGCUGAGCACCCUCCCCCUAUGCUCUCUGCUUCCUUACCCGCGCCAUCUUGUGUACACGGUUAAGGACGGCAACCUUUGUUCUCUAUCCUCUCUAUCAAUGAAAUGAUACGCAAUCGUUGCGUAUUCGCGAAAAAAUCACGCCACACCAAAAAUGUGAAUCACCGGGUUUAUAAUGAACUUGAGAAAUUGCUUUGGACCCUAUGUACUUGUUACGAAUGGUUUUCUGCCACACCCCAUUCUCAGUGAGUAGUGUGUAAAUCCAUUUACUAAAACAAAUGAUGUUUUUAAUCUCAAGAUCUUGAAUCCCAAGGCCCCCUUGACUUUUAGGUCAGCAUAAUACGCUCCACCUAGCCGGUCGAUAUUUCUUGGAUUCAUUAUCACACUGCCAAAAAAUAUGGCUCUAAAGUAAUCAAGAUGAUGAAGAGCCCCUUUCGGUAAGUGAAAGAAUGACAACAUGUAUAGAACCAUAUUGCCGACAUUUCGAAUUAGGACAAAUUUGAAUAUUAUUGUUGAAUGGCAAAAAAGGUCUGAAUAAUUUGGUCUGACAUUUAGGAGCAAUUUGAUGAGCCGUGUUAGAGUUGUCUUGAAACCACGACAAAAACAAUGAUAAUAUCUGCCGAUGUUGUAUGGCUCGGUUUUGCCGCAUGAGAUUUCGUUGACUGGGUGUUGUUUUACUGAACAACGACAAUAUGUGCCAAUGUCGAAUGGCUUGAUUUUGCCGUAGGCUAAACUCUUCUGCCUUACAUGAGAUGCUAAACUCUUCUGCCUUACAUGAGAUCCCGUUGAUUGGACGCUGCUCCGAGCAGUCCCCUCCAACUCUGGUCAAGUUGGACCGGGCAUCUCCAACAUGGAUUGGGAGAUGUGUUUCUCAACUGCUAAGAUGUUGCCUCAGUCCUUUGCAAUUUCUGAUCAUUGUUUGCUACUUUUAGUAAAUGAUAAUGUGAUUAAAAUGUGCUGUGGAUUAAGAUUUGAAGCAUACUCGCAAUUUAUUAACAGUUUGUCUAAUUCACGUCUAGAUGUUUUCUAAGGAUGUCACAUCUAAGCUCCCAUAAAUAAGGCAGCAACAAGGAACAAAAAAAAACUAGGACAAAAAAAAUAGAUCACAAACAUAGUGGACAUUAGGUUAGAUGUGACAUAGUUAUGUUACAUCUAAAUGUGUCCUAGACAGACUCAUUUAUUAAAUGGUUUUCAGCAAGGGGCCGCCGGCGACGCUAGGAAUAAGGGCAACUCCAACGUGAACGAUCAAUAUGGACCUCAUCAAAUGCCGUGGACACGUCCGGACAUGUCUGCGGACAUUUAUAGGGGCGGGGGCUAUCCAACCAUAGACAACAAAUGUUCGGACCAGUUCAAACGUUUCAAACACAAACACACAGGAAAUUCAUGUUAAACACACACAAUUUGUUAAAUUUGAUACAUUUAUAACUAAAUGGACGAAAAUUAACAAAUUUUAACCUAACCUAAAAUAAAUGGGGUACCGAACGGUGACCUUGCACGCAUGGCCACCUUGGCCCUAGGGACCUCCGUUGUUGUCGAGCCAUCCUACGUGCUGCCAUCGUCGGAGUCGUCGUCUUUCUAGUGACGGAAGGCCCGCCAGGCGUUGCGGCAUCCAUGCCCGGCCGCCGCAAGCUGAUGUCCUUCCAGUGGCGGAAGACCCGCCAGGCGUUGCGGCAUCCCUGCCCGGCCGCCGCAGCGCGCUCGAUGCGCAACCACCCGGAUACCUCCACCUGGUGCAGACUCUCGGCCACCUCUACCUAGUGGUGAUAGCGGUUGCGGACUCCAUGACGGCACCUACCCUUGCGUUGGAGCCUGACGGCGUUUCUGUCCUCCGGGAAAUCCUUUUUUAGGAGAUAAGCAAGGAUUGGUUUAGUCCACUCCAGGAUUACAGCCAAGAUCAUCGCUCCCUAGCCUUCGAGUUCUUGAUCUGGCUCCGUUUUGAUGGAGGUGCUCCGACAAGGUGUCCGACGGGACCUGGUCCUAAAGGGCGCCCAUCCUCGCAUGGGCGUCAACCGUCAGAGCGCAUGAUGUCAUGAAGCUUGAGGGUGCCGAACUGGCAUUUGGGUCAGCGCACCUCGAAGCAAUAAGUCGCCAUCUUUGGAUCCUUCCUACCGAAGGGCUUCAUGACCCAUUGAACGAUAAGACCGAAGUCGCUGCUAUAGACGAACCGUCAUAUGCCCAUGGAGACAGCAAGGCAGAGACCAUGGAGGAGGGCUUCAUACUCGACUGCAUUGUUGGAGGCACAUAGUUCAUCUUGCCCCUUUCGGGGACAUCAUGACAACGCCGACCCCCAAGCCCAGAAGCAUCAUGGAGCCGUCAAAAUAUAUCUCCAAUGCUUGAGGUCGACACACUUGGGGAUUUGCUGGGCCUCAGUCCACUCGACAAGGAAAUCAACCAAGACCUUCCAUCGCUAAUGAUGACGAGUCGCCUUGCCAAGUUGGCGAUGAAGCUCUAGGCAAUGGUGAUCCUCUGACCCAGAGCAAAGACAUCAGUUUGGACCAGAGACCCCAUCUGGACCGGUUUACCGGGCCACACAGUCAGUUCCCUGGCGCACCAACUAUCGGUGUAUGAAACCAGUAGUAGUCACCAUAGGAUGAUAUGCCUGAUUGGAAGUAUUACACUAGGGAGCACACGAAGAUUUUACCCAGAUUUGGACCCUCAUGAUAGAGGUAAUACCUUACUCCUGCUUGGAUUGGAUUGAUGGUAAGGGUGCCUUGUGAGAGGGGAUUACAAUGGUGAAUAGUAAGCUCUAUCAAAAGUACUAGAUUAGAUGCAAGGUGUCUCUAGGCUAGCCCUGACCCCGUCUUGUAAAGGAGGAGGAUGCCUAGGGUUACGAAGAGUUUCAGUGUCUUAUAAAGGAGGAGGAUGCCUAGGGUUACAAAGAGUUUCAGUUGUUAAUUCGUAAUCUUUGGACUUUGUAUGCCAAAAUACUUUAACGUCUCAAAAGCAGGAAACGUCAACGCUCCACAAAAUAUUUUAACGUCAACGUUUAUUGCACAAGUCCCCUGUUUAUUGGAACAGACAAAUUACAAAUCAAAUAUAUGUAGUCACGCCACCCUUAUGUAGAUUCCUUAUCAGAGGACAUAAUCCAUCAAUCAAUUCAUUCUGCUCUCUUCAUCCGGUUUUAUAUGUUGGACACGGGUUUUUAGGUCUUCAGUUUGACUAACAAAACAUGCGUGUCAAAUUAAAAAUCUAAAAACCCAUGCCCCACUUAUAAAUCCCGAUAGGGGCAGUACGCGAUCUUGCUUCCUUUGUUUGUUUAUAUGUUCUUGGCGAACUACUAGUUUAUGCAGAGGCAACACCGAUUGAUAUUCCCGGUAAUUUAGCUGCAAAUGAACACCAAAGUCAAGAGAGAAACAGUACACGACGAAAGAUGCUGCUAAUAGACAACUAAUCUGUCACAGCUGAGCGGAUUUGCCUUGCAACUUUCAGUUUGACCAGUGACACAAUUGUUAAGCCGAAAAGUCUUCAACAAGCGGAAUCCUACAUAAGAGGGUGCAAUGCAGUGCAUCUCAGCACCAAAGAAUCUAAAACUUGCGGUGCCCCACGGAAUGGAGAGAACACCCCGAGCAAUCCUCUUCCUCUUGCUCUUGCUCCUUGUCGAUCCCGGCGUAGCUCAGAACACCACCGGCAAAGCAGACGAGUUCCAUGUCGGAGUGAUCCUCAAUCUGGGCUCGCUGGUGGGAAAAGUGGCACGAACCAGCAUUUCACUGGCCGUCCAAGACUUCUACGCGGUCCACCAGAAUUACAGCACAAAGCUGACACUCCAUUUCAGGGAUUCCAUGGCAAGUGAUGUAAAGGCUGCAUCAGCAGGUAUGUGUCUGCAGUAUGUCAAAGUUAAGUUGUCAGGAUUCAGGAAAACGGAAGGACUUAGUUUUCCUAUUUUCCAUAGUUUGACACCUUAAACAAGAAGAACAUAUUUAUAUUGGCAUUUGACACCUUAAACAAGAGUUGUACUUAAAUUAUUUGGAGUUAUCAAGCAUUUGACACCUUAAACAAGAGUCAUAUUUAGAUUAGCAUCUGAUCAGUUCCUUAGUAGGAGAACCCUAAUGGUAAGCCAAGCAGAGUCUAUAAAAAUCACAGAUCGAGAAAAUAUAUGUUUAUUGGCAAUUGCAAACCAUAACUGACAUAGUGACACAAUUCUCCAAAUGAGUCAAAUCAAACCCCUUUUGAUAGUAUUAUGAGUAUAAAUGAAAGAACAUGUAAACAGAGUGUGUUAUCAUUUCAUCAAGGAUAAAACAGUCUUAGUUAUAGGAGUCGUAUAAGGCUUAGGCAAACAGGUGUCAGAUGAUCAAGAAAAUAGAAAACGUCACAAGCAACACGAACACACAAAAACCUAAACUCGCCAUUUUUUAUAUAGUAUGCUUUAUUAUGUGUUAUGAUGUUGUUUCUUCGCUAUUAAACUAGUACCAUCUGACCGAAAUUUCCUUAUGCAAUUUCAAAAGCGAUUGAAUUACUGGAUAAUUACAAACUGCAAGCCAUCAUUGGUCCCCAGAAAUCAUCAGAAGCUGUAUUCAUCUCCAAGAUUGGAAAUAUAACCCAAGUCCCCACAGUAUCCUUCACAGCAACAAGCCCCUCUCUCACUUCAGAUACUAUGCCAUAUUUUGUGCGUGCAACAUUGAAUGACUCAGCUCAGGUGAAUAGCAUUGCCUCGCUUGUAAAAGCCUAUGGAUGGAGAGAAGUGGUGCUAGUAUAUGAAAACACCGACUAUGGUAGAGGCAUUCUACCGUACCUCAUUAGUGCACUUCAAGAGAGUGAUGUUCAUGUCCCGUAUCAGAGUGUUAUCCCUCCAUCAGCAACAAGUGAAAUCAUGAUGCAAGAACUCUAUAAGUUGAUGACAAUGCAAACAAGGGUGUUUAUUGUUCAUAUGUCAUCCACGAUGACUUCCCUUCUUUUUACAAAGGCCAAAGAGGCAGGGAUGAUGGACAAAGGAUUUGCGUGGAUUACUACAAACGGAGUAGCAAACAUCAUCGACUCACUCAAUCCAAGUGUGACCGAGGUGAUGAAUGGUGUACUGGGAGUAAGGUACCAUGUCCCCAAAUCAAAAGAGCUUGAUAGUUUCUCCAUAAGGUGGAACAGAAUGUACCAACAGGAUAACCCAGAUGAAUCACCCUUCAAUAAACUAAGCAUUGUUGGACUACGGGCCUAUGAUACGAUAUGGGCAUUAGCACAGGCAGCAGAAAAGGUUGGGAUAUCCAGUGCCCCAAAUAAGCAACCAUGGUCCAUUAAGAACUCCACAUGCUUGGAAUCCAUGGUUAUUUCCCCAAAUGGUCCAAAACUCUUAGCAGCAAUUGUACAAAAUAAGUUUAGAGGUAUAAGUGGCGACUUUGACCUUACAGACAAACAGCUUAAAGUUUCUGUGUUCCAAAUAAUAAAUGUGGUUGGGAGAGGUUGGAGAGAAAUCGGGUUUUGGAGUGUGAAAAGUGGACUUUCACGGCAGUUGAAUCAAAAUGGCUUAAAAACAACAGGAUCAGCCUCAAUGCUUGAUCUAAAUCCUGUAAUUUGGCCAGGAGAGUCAACUGAAAUACCGAGGGGCUGGGAAAUUCCUAUAAGUGGUAAGAAGCUUAGAGUCGGUGUGCACACGAGCAAUUGCCCAGAGUUUAUAAAGACAUUCAGAGAUCCUGUUACAAAUGUAACAAGUGCGAGUGGCCUUUCAAUUGACAUAUUUGAGGAGGCAAUAAAGAGGCUACCUUUUGCACUUACUUAUGAGUACCUGGCAUUUGACACAGCUGAUACAGCAACUACAGGAAGCUAUAACGAUUUUAUUUAUCAAGUUUAUCUUCAGGUAAGAAAUACAUUACGAAAGAUUUGGUUUCAAUUUCUUAAUCUAUCAUUGCAGAAACUAGAAGCUGCAUACAUUCCACUGUUAAGAAGAAAACUCUAGUAGCUAAAACAUUUUACAAGAUAUUAACUUAGUUCCACAUUUUCAUCCAGUGUUUUGUUCUGCUUUCAAUUGAAACCAGGCUCCUAUUUUAUUUUACAUAGAAGGAUGUCAGAUAGAAAGGCUCAUUGUAUUUUGUUUUUCUCAAAGCAAAUCAAAAGUCUAUUUUGCAUGCUAAAAUAUUUUCCUCUUAUUGAACAAUUUACUUCCAGUGUUUAAUCAUUCUUAGAAGUAGAUCAUCACUUUCUUAUUUCUCAAAUAUAUGAAGCUGAUUCAUGCCAUUGCAGAAAUACGACAUAGCGGUUGGAGAUAUUACUGUAAGGUACAAUAGAUCAUUGUAUGUCGACUUCACUGUACCGUACACAGAAUCUGGAGUAGGGAUGAUUGUUCCAGUCAAGGAAAACAUGAUCAAGAAUAUGUGGAUUUUCUUGAAACCAUUGAGCACUGGAAUGUGGUUUGGAAGCAUCAUAUUCUUUAUUUACACAGGAGUUGUUGCCUGGCUUCUGGAGUAUCUAAAUGGCAAUCAACAUGUACAUGGUCCCUUUUCACUCAAACAAGUGGGGAUUACAAUGUUCUUCUCCAUUUUUGAAGAGAGUUGAGUAAACAUUACAGUUUCCUAGAUCUUUGCUUAAUUUUGAACAAGUAUUUCAGUUGCAUAGACAAAGUAUACGUUGCACUGCAUGAAAAUAAGAAGCGCCGAAAGAUUCCUUCGAAAAAGAUUACUGCAGUGAUCUAACUAAACUGCACCUCCACAACUUUUAGGAAAGAAAAUCAUCUGUAUGACCCCAUUUUAGUUAAACUUAUCUUAAUGUUUCUCAGCAUAAGAACCUAGAUCUGUCUAAUUAGUACUCCCUUCGUUCCAUAAUUAUUGUUGUGGUUUUAGUUCAAAUCUAGCUGGGGAUGAACUAAUGCUAGUACGUAUCUGCUUUAGAAACAUGAAAGCAAUACACCUGUUCUUCAUAAUUGCGCUUCACUAAAGGAAAAAAAAUUAUAGCGUCAAUUGAAAAAAAUGAUGGUAAGACUUGCAUUUAUCAUACCAAGAAAUAGAUAUUGCAUAUGCUUUCAAGCAAGUCCUCCAAUGGCAUGCAUUGCAGUAUCCCAAUCAAGUCCUGGAAUGUUAUGCAUUGCAGUAUCCCAGCUUUCAAGUUUGUUUACUGUCUCAAUAAUAUCUUCAUCAUUAUUGCAGAGGAGAAGCUGGAACGAUUUCUAUCCAGAAUUGUUCUACUUGUAUGGAUGUUUGUUUUUCUGGUACUUACAUCAAGUUAUACAGCAAGCUUUGCAUCAAUGCUGACUGUACAGCAGCUUUCACCAACAGUGACUGAUGUUCAUGAACUCCAGAGGAAAGGAGAAUAUGUAGGGUUCCACCGUGGUUCCUAUAUAGAGGGUCUACUGGUGGAUAUUGGUUUUGAAAAAUCAAAGAUGAGGCCCUACGAAACACAGGAAGAUUUCGCUGCUGCUCUUUCUAAAGGAAGCAAAGAUGGUGGCAUUGCUGCGCUUGUACAUGAAAUCCCCUACAUCAAACUGUUUCUUGCAAAGUACAGCAAAGGUUACACAAUGGUGGGACCUAUCUACAAGAGUGCAGGUUUUGCAUUUGUAAGUUUAACUCACUCACUAGGGUGCUUUGUUUUAAUCUCUUGAAAAAAAAAUCUGCAUUGAAGUUUGCUAGCAAGUCAAGUAAAAUGUUAUGCUCAUGUUUCUCCUUCAAUUCUACAUACCACGUCCCCUAAGAUUGCUAUAUACAAAUUCGAAGUUACGAAAUAAAAAUAGAAAUAGUGAGGCUAUCUAAUAGCAUACGAUGAAUAAUUUAUCUUCCAGUUGACUGAAUGAAAAGUUGAAAAAGGGUGGAGAUAAAUGUCAAAGUGAAAACGAUGCCCUUUUCUAGUCUGUCUGUCCCCAAUAAUGAACUCUCACUGACCGCACCCUAUGGGGAUCAUCAAUGUAAGCUUAACUACCAUAUACAACAAUAUAGAAGAGGCAAGCAACAACCAUCACAUAAAAAUAGAUCCAUCCAUUUUCUAUCAAAAAAAUUAUAUGAGCUGAUAUUUCCAUUUGGCGCUGCAGUGGAUUAUGAUAAAUAAUCUUGGAGACCAAGCAAUAGCUUGGAUGGUAGCCGUGCUGGUGGUCUUCCACCAGCCUGGGAUCGACCCUUCAUGGUCACAUUUCCAGGAGCCUCUCUCCGUAUCAAAAUAUAAGCACAGAGGGACUUCACCCCCUUAAGCCAUUCAUUUUUAUGAUAAAUAAUCUCGGUUGGAUGGAUUGCUUCUAGAUAACCUUGGCGUUUAGUUAGUCUGUUUUUUCCUCUUCUAAAACGAAUUGCAUAAUCUGCAUUCGAGAACAUAUGAGAUGUAAUGUGGGAGGUCAACCAUUCGAUAACACUAUAUCUAACUCUGGUCUGAUUUAUCAAACAGAGUAAUAGACUUUUCACAACUUCCUUCUUAAAGCAACUUCAAAAAUAAGUAACUCUCUCCGUAUCAAAAUAUAAGACGUUUUUUGACACUAGGAGUACAUCACAACACAACAACCACAAACUAAACCUGAAAACAGGCCCUAUGGUCAGAUUACUGAAUUUUUGUACUGCUUGAGCAACUUUUAGUAUGAUAGUGUGAAAGUAUGGUACUGCUGCUAAGCAACACCAUCAUUGACCAUCUUCCAUUAUAUCUUGUUAGCUAAGAAUAUUCAGCCCAAUGGAAAUUUUACUUUUCAGGCUUUUAUAGUCAGAUAUUAUGAUGAAUAGAAUUCUUUGUGUGUUAGCUUGUGCAAGCUUAUAAUAAUGAUCUCUUUGGUAAUCAGGCACUUCCCAAGCAAUCACCACUAAGAGCUGAAAUGUCAAGGGCAAUACUCAACAUAACAGGAGAAGAUAGUAUCAAUGAAAUUGAAAAGAAAUGGAUAUAUCAAAACAGCCAUCAACAUGAGGAUAAAAUUGAUGGUUCAGGCGCUAUCACCUUUGAAAGUUUUGGGGGGUUAUUCCUCCUAACUGGGAUCGUGACAACCUGUUCCCUUGCUGUAGCCAUGCUGAUGAACCUCUACAAAAAAUAUCAAGAAAAUGCAUGGAGCAAAGAAGACGAUCAAAAUGAGUGUGGACACAGGCAACAAGGAGAAAAUGGAGAUUCACAGGAAGAACAAGGAGAUCAAAACAGCAAUGAACACGGAAACUGCAGUGAUAUAGAGAAGCAGACAACAUUGACAGUGCCACUCAGUUCGAACACAGAGUGACCAGCUACCAGAACAGUUAGAACCAACAAUAUAGGCUGUGGAUUCACACAAAAUAACAAGGCAACGUCACUGACUCAUAUUGAUCCAUAAAUCAUUCGCAGGGGAGACAAAAGUAGAAUGUCAUUAAGUGGAUCAAGCUAGUUCCAAGCUGAGCAAAGAUCACCUUCCAAGCUCAAAGAUCCACAACUAACUGCGGGGAAAGCCUGGCUGAACUUUGGGUGUGUGGAGCUUCCUAUGGAUGCAAAAUCAAGUAAAGUUUCAGUCUGUUUUAUGCUUCACCCUUCCGGGCAUCACCUGUCUCGGUCUAUCAUAUACUACUGUAGUUUUCCUGAAAAAAUCAAGGCUAUACACUCCUUGUAGAGACUAUUUCUGUACAUACUUUGUAUAUUCAGGUUUUCACACGGAAAGGAGGUGGACGUGGAUCAUCCAAUUAUCAUCACUUCGUUUCGCAACCUGGAAAAUACGAGGCAGGCAUUCUAACGAACACCUUGGCUGCACUAUCCGUCUGCCCCCAUAAAUUCCAACACAUCAAACUAGUGUUCUGCAAAAUUCCGGUAGCACAUCCGCGAACGCAUAUAGUAGGGGAUCGAAUUUCGAUCUUAAGGAGGGACGGGAAGCAAGAGUUCAUUUCGGAAGUUUGCGCUCGGCAGAACUGAUCGAAUCUCGACGUACCUUGCCGGUUGCCGCCAGGCUCGCCGGGCGCCGGAUGGGCUCCUCCAUCCGUCGAGACGGCGGGUGGGCGAACCCCUCAGCGCGGCAUGAGGAGGACCCGUUGCGGUGGCAGGUGGAGGAAUGCGGCCGCGGGGCUCGAAGACUGGGAAGGAGCAGGGUGUCUGACAUGUGGGCCUGGUUCGUCAGCAUAACUGGGAAGGAGCAGGGUGUCUAAAGUCUAAACAUUCUUAUAUUUCUUUACGGAGGGAGCAUGUCUUAUUGAGCCUGUUAUUAUUCACAAAACAAUCUGCCAACACUAUAGGCAUUCGAGGGCACGUAGAAAUGAAAAAAAAACAAAAGGAUUACGAUAUCAAUGCCUUUUUGAAUCCUAUAAGCGAUUUUCUUUUGUUCAAUUGCAUUAAAAAAAUCUCUCCAAGGGUUUAAGCUGACGCUAAAAUUCCUAUGAAAUAUAGAAUCCUUGGAAAAAAAUCAUGUAGGAUUCAACGACCACCAUAAGAAAAAAAAUUCCUAAAGAUUCCAAAUUUCUAUAAAAAUCAUUUCCUAAUUCUCAAACGUCCAGCAUAAUCAUUCAGCUACUUGCGACCACAAAACAAAGGCACAUUAACUUGACAUUACAGCAUGAAAUGCUUCUUGGGCCAAAGUAGGAGGUUAUUUAUAGAAUACAAUUUGAUAUGGAUUUACAACAAAAUCGUCUGCAUCGCCAUUGACUAACUUAUUGCUUUUCAUUUUUGAGAUGAGAGGAAUCGACUAGCUACAUUUACACAAGCGCCUAGAAUGGUGCAUAGUUUUUACAAACAAAAGACAUACACAUGGUACACACACACAACUAUGGAAGCAUAGUAGCAGAGUAGGAGGAGCAUCUUGCAGUGCCCGAGUUCCUUGACUUCCUCGCGAUCCCACGGUUAAUUAAUUGAGAAAUCUGUCUAGCUCAGUCUUCCUGGGCUAGGGAAUUUCCUUGAAUUUGCACCUUUAAAAUUACAGGGGUCUCUCCUCCUACACCACACAAAUAGUCAAUACUUUUGCACCUUUUGUGUUGUUGCAAAUUCACAUAUUGUGGCACGAAAGGUGACUCAACUUUGCCAGUUGCAGAUGGUCUGUCGAUAUUUUCAUCAGCACACAACUUUUCUCCGCGCAGAAAAUAAAUAAAUAGACAAUUUCUCUGUUGGUAUCGCUUGUAGUACACUAAUAUGAUUGCCGUAAUGUAGUGCACUCUUGAUAUACACCUCCUUGGCAUCUAAAAUGUUAUUAUAGAGAUCAGAUAGCUCAAAUGCAUGUGCAAGUUCUUGUCUGACUUUGUCAUCAUUGGUCUAGAAAAUUAUAGGUUUCCACUCAACAGCCAUGCUAAAUUACUCCCUGUGGGCCGGUAUAUUAGCCGGGCAUGAAUAUUUAGGUCUUCAAUUUAAAUAGGGAAACAUGUAUUAUAUUUUAUAUAAAAUACUCCCUACAUCCUAAAAUAAGUGACUCAACUUUGUACUAACUUUAUAUCUUUAGAUUCGUUGUCAAAUGUAGUUUCUAACCAUAUAUUUUUUAUGUUAAAUCAAAGACCUAAAAACCUAAAAAAAAAAGAUUUUGGUAGUUUACGUAGAAACCCGUGCCGAAUAAUAUACCGCUCCACAAGGAGUGGAUUAAAUAGAAAAUUAGUUUUUUUAACGAACCACCAUAUAGAUUUUGGUAGUUUACGUAGGUACUACAAUUCUUUGGACAGCGAGACUACCCCGGCAAUUCGUUUUCUCCUACAAGUAAGCAAUCAAGAUAAUUCCACGAAUUUCCCUUUCUCAAAUGUCAACACGCGCACUCUGACGUAGAUAAACCCGAUUGUCACAUUCAUCUGGUUUUGACAGUACAUAUUAAAAGGGGGCCAAUUGGAAUUUAUAUAAACAGCAAAAAUCGUGCCAACAGAAUUCAGUUGCUUCAGGACAUAGAGCAAACGUUUGAAAACAAUUAGAUAACAGCUGCGGUCACUGUCAAGUGAUAUAUUGCAAGAUUGAAUGGAAGGAGCUACUGGUCAGUUAGUAUUUAAGUACCUGGGUAACAUGCAGAGAAGGAGUACUCCACUAUUAUAGAACUCUAUCAUUGCAGCAUGUCCUAAGCUAGGUAUUCAUAUUUAAACUGCUUGGCCGGCCAUGCUACGUCAUUUGACCUUCGGAAACUACAACUGAAAUGAGGUACAAAUUAGAAUCAUUCCCUCUGCAAUAAAAUAUGCAUGGCUCAAGGCAUCAAAGUGUAGUCACCUACGCCGUCAUGCUAAGCUUUUAGCUUGAAGAAACCAACUUUAUAAAAGCCACAGUAGACUUGGAUUCUGGGGACAAAAUACUUCACAAACCUUGCAGCACUGUCAAUGGAGAGAGCAUCUCAAAUCACCUUCUUCCUGUUACUCAUCAUCCACUCCGGCAUAGCUCAAAAUGCUACCACGAGUGGAGCAGAUGAGUUCCCCGUUGGAGUG
rnacentral:lncRNA from 1 species